rnacentral:rRNA from 1 species
UGAACGCUGGCGGCGUGCCUUAGGCAUGCAAGUCGAACGAAAAGUAGCAAUACUUUUAGUGGCAGACGGGUGAGUAACACGUAGGAAUCUACCCUUUGGUGAGGAAUAACGGUUCGAAAGGACCGCUAAUACCACAUAAGUCCGCAAGGAGAAAGACCGUAACUGGUCGCCGAUGGAGGAGCCUGCGUCCCAUCAGCUUGGUGGUGAGGUAAUGGCUCACCAAGGCUAUGACGGGUAGGGGGCGUGAGAGCGUGGCCCCCCACAAGGACACUGAGACACGGGUCCUACACCUACGGGUGGCAGCAACCGGGAAUAUUGCGCAAUGGAGGAAACUCUGACGCAGCGACGCCGCGUGCGGGAUGAAGGCCUUCGGGUUGUAAACCGCUGUGGAGAGGGAUGAAUCUUGACAGUACCUCUCUAGAAAGCACCUGCUAACUACGUGCCAGAAGCCUCGGUAAUACGUAGGGUGCAAGCGUUAUCCGGAUUUACUGGGCGUAAAGCGUCCGUAGGCGGUAUGGUAAGUGGCGGGUUAAAGACUCUGGCUCAACUAGAGGAAAGCUCGCCAAACUGCCAAACUAGAGCUAGUUUGGGGAUACUGGAAUUCUCGGUGGAGGGGUGAAAUCCGUUGAUAUCGAGAAGAACGCCAAAGACGAAGGUAAGUAUCUAGAACUAUGCUGACGCUCAGGGACGAAAGCUAGGGUAGCAAACUGGAUUAGAGACCCAGGUAGUCCUAGCCGUAAACUAUGAACACUAGCUGGUUGGAUGAAUUUCUGACCGGCGCAAGCUAACGCGUUAAGUGU